GGGGAAUAUUGGACAAUGGGGGCAACCCUGAUCCAGCAAUGCCGCGUGUGUGAAGAAGGCCUUCGGGUUGUAAAGCACUUUUAUCGGGGACGAAAUCCGGAAGGUUAAUACCCGUCCGGGACGACGGUACCCGAGGAAUAAGCACCGGCUAACUUCGUGCCAGCAGCCGCGGUAAUACGAAGGGUGCAAGCGUUAAUCGGAAUUACUGGGCGUAAAGGGUGCGUAGGCGGUUUGUUAAGUUCGAUGUGAAAGCCCUGGGCUCAACCUGGGAAUGGCAUCGAAGACUGGCAGACUGGAGUGCGGUAGAGGAUGGUGGAAUUCCCGGUGUAGCGGUGAAAUGCGUAGAGAUCGGGAGGAACACCAGUGGCGAAGGCGGCCAUCUGGACCAGCACUGACGCUGAGGCACGAAAGCGUGGGGAGCAAAC
rnacentral:rRNA from 1 species